rnacentral:ncRNA from 1 species
AAAGUCAUAUGGCAAAUCUAUCGAAAGGUAGAGACGCAAAGCCACGGGUCUAAAACAGUACUUGAUGCUGCCACGACAGCCGGGUUGCAGAA